UACAGAGGGUGCAAGCGUUAAUCGGAUUUACUGGGCGUAAAGAGCACGUAGGCGGUUUGUUAAGUCGGAUGUGAAAUCCCUCGGCUCAACUGAGGAAGUGCAUCCGAAACUGGCAAGCUUAAGUACGAAAGAGGGUCGCGGAAUUCCCGGUGUAGAGGUGAAAUUCGUAGAUAUCGGGAGGAACACCGGUGGCGAAGGCGGCGACCUGGGUCGAUACUGACGCUGAGGUGCGAAAGCGUGGGGAGCAAACAGG
rnacentral:rRNA from 1 species